rnacentral:rRNA from 1 species
UGGAGGAAAAASUAGGGGAUCGCAAGACCUUGCGCUUUUGGAGCGGCCGAUGUCUGAUUAGCUAGUUGGUGAGGUAAAGGCUUACCAAGGCGUCGAUCAGUAGCUGGUCUGAGAGGACGACCAGCCACACUGGGACUGAGACACGGCCCAGACUCCUACGGGAGGCAGCAGUGGGGAAUUUUGGACAAUGGGGGAAACCCUGAUCCAGCCAUGCCGCGUGAGUGAAGAAGGCCUUCGGGUUGUAAAGCUCUUUCAGCCGGAACGAAACGGUCACGGCUAAUACCUGUGACYACUGACGGUACCGGAAGAAGAAGCACCGGCUAACUACGUGCCAGCAGCCGCGGUAAUACGUAGGGUGCRAGCGUUAAUCGGAAUUACUGGGCGUAAAGCGUGCGCAGGCGGUUUUGUAAGUCAGAUGUGAAAUCCCCGGGCUUAACCUGGGAACUGCGUUUGAAACUACCAAAGCUAGA